rnacentral:sRNA from 1 species
UUUUUCAGACAUGCCAAGCGCACAACAAUCAACACUGAUGAUGUAAAGUUAUUAGCAAGAAGGAAUGAUACUUUACUGCAACAUUUGAAUGAAAUUCUUGCUGAGGAGACAGCUUCCAAGACAGCUUCAAAACCAAUAGCAAAAGCUACAAAGAAAGCCAAGAAGUCAGCUAAAGUUGCAGAUAGUGACAUGCAGGAAAGUUGAUGGCCUUAAUAUUAGUUAUCACAACUCUUAUGUUGUAUCAUUCAUUAUUCAAUGUUUCACUUUAAAUUAAUGCUUAAGAAAAUUUCAAUUCUUAAACUUUUCAAAGAGGUUGGAUAUUUUGUAUGUUUCAUUGAUUCAAGUUUGCAUGACUAUACUGGCAACUGUUCCUAAUGUGAUAAAACCUAUUUGAAUCUCGGCUUGUCACAAGCAAGACUAAGAAAAAAACUUUAAAUACAUAUUCACUUACUUAUAAAGGCC